rnacentral:rRNA from 1 species
CAGCCGCCACGGUAAUACGGAGGGUGCAAGCGUUAAUCGGAAUUACUGGGCGUAAAGCGUGCGUAGGCGGUUCGUUAAGUCUGUUGUGAAAUCUUCAGGCUCAACUUGAAGUCUGCAUGGGAAACUGCGGGGUUGGAGUAUGGGAGAGGUGAGUGGAAUUCCUGGUGUAGCGGUGAAAUACGUAGAUAUCAGGAGGAACACCUGUGGCGAAAGCGGCUCACUGGACCAUAACUGACGCUGAGGCACGAAAGCUAGGGGAGCAAACAGGAUUAGAUACCCCCGUAGUCCCUGUCUCUUAUAC